UACGUAGGUGGCAAGCGUUGUUCGGAAUUAUUGGGCGUAAAGCGCGUGUAGGCGGUUGCCCAAGUCGGGUGUGAAAGCCUUGAGCUCAACUCAAGAAAUGCACUCGGUACUGGGUGACUAGAGGACCGGAGAGGAUAGUGGAAUUCCCAGUGUAGUGGUGAAAUACGUAGAGAUCGGGAGGAACACCAGUGGCGAAGGCGGCCAUCUGGAGUCAACACUGACGCUGAGGCACGGAAAGCGUGGGGAGCAAACAGGG
rnacentral:rRNA from 1 species